ACCUCAUCUUGUAUCCAGUCUGUAGGUGGUAGGAAAUGUGGACAAAGACCAUUGAAGAUGUGGGGAAGUGCAGGAAAAUCCAUCUGACUGAUGAGAAACACCGACUAUGGCAUCUCUCUAAAAAGAAACAGCAUCAAAUAAAUGCCAACACUUCUAGCAGUGGAGUGAUGCAAAACUGACAAAGUGCAAGAAAUAGACUGGAAGCUCCUAUUGUACUGAAUCUCAGCUUAGAGACAUAAAGAAUGAGUAAAUUAACUGAACUUGGAUACACUUCAGAGCCCUGUGCACCACACAGGAGAAGGUGAGAGGAAUGAUCCUCCAAAACUACAUAUUUCAUACACCAAGCUGAAAUCCCAGGACUCUUCA